UAUGAAACCCAUAUGAAUGAGAGUAGUACUAGGAUGGGUGACCUCCUGGGAAGUCCUCGUGAAAGGGUUUCAUAU
rnacentral:rRNA from 1 species